rnacentral:rRNA from 1 species
CUGAACUUAAGCAUAUCAAUAAGCGGAGGAAAAGAAAAUAACAAUGAUUCCCCUAGUAACUGCGAGUGAAGAGGGACAAGCUCAAAUUUUAAAUCUAUCGGGUUUUACCCGAUCGAGUUGUAAUUUGAAGAAGCGUUUUCUGCGUUUUUGGUCAGCCCAAGUCCUAUUGAAUGAGGCAUCAUGGAGGGUGAUAAUCCCGUCCGGUUGAUCAUUUGCGUUUUACGAUACGCUUUCUAAGAGUCAAGUUGUUUGGGAUUGCAGCUUAAAAUGGGAGGUAAAUUUCUCCUAAGGCUAAAUAACGGCGAGAGACCGAUAGCGAACAAGUACCGUGAGGGAAAGAUGAAAAGAACUUUGAAAAGAGAGUUAAACAGUACGUGAAAUUGUUGAAAGGGAAACGAUUGAAGCCAGUCGUACCUUCGGGUAAUCAGCUUUUCGGGUGCGAUUCUGUGGAGUGUGAUGAGCUUAACACCUUCAUGCUUUGCAUAUUUGUGCUCUUGGGUGUACUUGCCCGUGUGGUUGGUUAACAUCAAUUUUGGUUAUCAUAAAAUGAUUGGAGGAAUGUAGCUUCGAUCUCGUAUUGAAGUGUUAUAGCCUUCGGUAGGUGUGAUGAACGAGAUUGAGGAUUGCAACGGAUACCCUUCGGGGCUACCUGUCUGGUCUCUGAUCGUUGUUCUGGUGCCGAAAGCUUGCUUACGGUCAUCAAAGUCGAUGGUCAAUAGGUUAGAACGGGUUAAAUUCGUUAAGGAUGUUGACGUAAUGGCUUUAAACGACCCGUCUUGAAACACGGACCAAGGAGUCUAACAUAUAUGCGAGUGUUAGGGUGAUUAAACCCUUACGCGUAAUGAAAGUAAUUUUGGUGGGAACAUUUUUGUGCACCAUCGACCGAUCAGGAUAUUUUUUGAUAGAUUUGAGUAAGAGCAUAUCUGCUAGGACCCGAAAGAUGGUGAACUAUGCCUGAAUAGGGUGAAGUCAGAGGAAACUCUGAUGGAGGCUCGUAGCGGUUCUGACGUGCAAAUCGAUCGUCAAAUUUGGGUAUAGGGGCGAAAGACUAAUCGAACCAUCUAGUAGCUGGUUCCUGCCGAAGUUUCCCUCAGGAUAGCAGAAACUCGUUAACAGUUUUAUGAGGUAAAGCGAAUGAUUAGAGGCCUUAGGGUUGAAACAGCCUUAACCUAUUCUCAAACUUUAAAUAUGUAAGAAGUUUAUCGUUACUUAAUUGAACGUGAACAUUCGAAUGAGAGUUUCUAGUGGGCCAUU